GGAAUAUUGCACAAUGGGGGAAACCCUGAUGCAGCGACGCCGCGUGGAGGAAGAAGGCCUUCGGGUUGUAAACUCCUGUCGUAAGGGGCGAUAGUGACGGUACCUUACAAGAAAGCCACGGCUAACUACGUGCCAGCAGCCGCGGUAAAACGUAGGUGGCAAGCGUUGUCCGGAAUUACUGGGUGUAAAGGGAGCGCAGGCGGGUCUGCAAGUUGGAAGUGAAACCCAUGGGCUCAACCCAUGAACUGCUUUCAAAACUGCGGAUCUUGAGUGGUGUAGAGGUAGGCGGAAUUCCCGGUGUAGCGGUGGAAUGCGUAGAUAUCGGGAGGAACACCAGUGGCGAAGGCGGCCUACUGGGCACUAACUGACGCUGAGGCUCGAAAGCAUGGGUAGCAAACAGGAUUAGAUACCCCAGU
rnacentral:rRNA from 1 species